UGGAGGGAAGCCCAGAAGUACUGUCGGCUGAAUUUCAUAGACUUGGCCACAGUGAGGAGCCAGACUGAAAAUAAGGCAUUACAGCAAAUAGUUGAAGAAUCUGUGUCAUCCUUGGUGCGGAUGAGUCGCUUCAGAGAUGAAUGGAAGUGCUCAGACCAGAGUGACAGUUCCUUUAGAUACUGGUUCCACAGUCAGCCAAAUCAUGACGGAAUGUGUGUUGUGUACAGCCCAAAAAUCAAACACCUGGCUUGACAGAGCUUGUACAAGGACACACAUGUUCUACUGCCACAAAGCCCCAGAAAAGACUGUGCGGAGGCAUAUUGUGAGGGUGGAAUUAAAGUCAAACUUUCUCUGGACUUUCAGUGAUUCAGCUGUGAGCAACGGCAUUUCAAAAGCGAUCCAAAAUAAGACCAAGUGGCCAAGCUUCAGUGGAGGGUCCAGCCAGACUUUCCACAAAAAUAUAAAUGGAGAAGAAAACUGAUGAGGACUGUGAAAAUGGGAC